rnacentral:lncRNA from 10 species
GAUCUCAUUCUGUCACCCAGGCUGGAGUACAGUGGUGCGAUCUCAGCUUACUGCAACCUCUGCCUCGUGGGUUCAAGUGAUUCUUCUGCCUCAGCCUCCUGAGUAGCUUGGAUUACAGGCACGUGCCACCACACCCAGCUGAUUUUUGUAUUUUUAGUAGAGACAGGGUUUCACCAUGUUGGCCAGGCUGGUCUUGAACUCCUGACCUCAAAUGAUCAGCCCGCCCCAGCCUCCCAAAGUGCUGGGAUGGGAUUACAGACGUGAGCCACCAGGCCCAGCCUAAAAUCCACAAUUAUUAAUAUGAAAUAAAUUCUCAGGCGCCCCCUUGCCUGUGGUGCACACAAUUCCUUGAAGCUGGGGUCUGUGCUGCUGCUCAUGCUUGUGGGAGCAGGGGUUUUGAGCAGACUCCUAGAAACAAAAUAUCACCUGCUGUGUUGGGUUUUGCUGGAGGCUGCAUACUCCCCUUCCAAAUGGAAUUGGGCAUCCCUCUCAUAUGAUGAAGUUAUUUCUUCCUCUGUCCCCCAUACAUGAGUGUCUUGUGCUGCUAUUAUCCCCUGCAGGAAUGAUACUAAAAUAUUAUCAACCAAAAAGGCAAAUGCAUUGGCCAAUCAGAAUGGACAUAGUGCUUGCUGGAGAAGCAUCCUGGGGUCUCUCUUCUACGCCAGUUAUUAUCCAUUUAGUAGGGAGAUCUGGGGGCUCCAGAGCAGGAACUAGGUGACAAGGUAUUUCUUAGGGGCUCAGGGGCUCCUAGGGGGCUCAGAUUUGUACAAGUUGAAUAAUUUUGUGGUUUUGUUUUUUGUUUUUUGUUUUGAGAUAGGGUCUCACUUUGUUGCCCAGGCUGGAGUGCAGUGGUGUGAACAUGGUUCACUGCAGCCUUGACCUCGUGGGCUCAAGCAAUCCUCCUGCCUUGACCUCUUGAGUAGCUGGGACUAUAGGCGAGGCCAUGUGAUUAGUCCUGAGAGAAAGCAUUGUGAGUCAUUUCCAAGCUGCAGUACCUACAAGCCCAUGGGAAGUUCUUCGGUUUCUCUUUCCUCUGCCAUCACAACUAAGGAACCUCAGAUGAAACCUCUUGGGCCCCUGAGUCACUGCAUGGAAGACAAUUGCCUUGUAGAAUCACAAUGGAUUUUGUGUAAAAGAGAAAUAAAUAAAGCAUUGUUUUGUUAAGCCACUG